UACAGAGGUCUCAAGCGUUGUUCGGAUUCAUUGGGCGUAAAGGGUGCGUAGGCGGCGCGGUAAGUCGGGUGUGAAAUCUCGGAGCUUAACUCCGAAACUGCAUUCGAUACUGCCGUGCUUGAGGACUGGAGAGGAGACUGGAAUUUACGGUGUAGCGGUGAAAUGCGUAGAUAUCGUAAGGAACGCCAAUGGUGAAGACAGGUGACUGGGCUAGUUCUGACACUGAGGCACGAAAGCGUGGGGAGCGAACGGG
rnacentral:rRNA from 1 species